UGCUAAGCAACACCGUCCCACGCUACACUACGCAGAGAGGCCCACCACUAACAGCCCUGCCGCGUGAGGGUGUGCUGAGAGCCAAGGCCGAAGAGAGCAUGCAGAAAGGCUUUCCUGUACAGGGGUGCCUCCGUUUCACGUUCAGUCUACAGCAGAAAUGAAGCCAAGAAGACCGGAGGCGCAGCUUCAGAGCUUAAUGGUUUCCAUGAAUAAAGGGUUCAUGCACGGACUUCAAGCCAUCUAUGAAUCCCAUUUUGUCUUUGUGGAGUUUCCGGGAACAAAGCCCAUAGGUUUUAUCAGACUGUCAAAAGUGUCAAUUACCAAGAUGACCCCAAAUUGGAGACCUGCUGCUUUAGGGUUGCAUCAGUACUUAGUACUUUUAAAAAUUUAUUUUAAAAUACUUUUAAAUUCUAGAAAGGCUGCAAGGACAGUGCAAAACAACUCUCUCCUUGCCUUUACCCAGAUCUGGCAAUUGCUAACCUCCCAUUCUGACUCACACACGCAUCAUACUCAGUCUUUUUCUGAAUCAUUGGAGAAAAGCUUCAGACCUAAUUCCACAUCACCUGUACAAGAUUCAGCAUCUAUUUCCCCAAACAAGGACCUCUCAGAUUAGGAACUCAAUAUUGCUACAACACUGCCAUUCAUAGACUCUAUUCAAUUUUAAUUUUGCCAAUUGUCCCAAGGAUGUCUUCCUUCCCUCCUUCCUUGCUUUUCUCCUUCCUUCUAUCUUUCUCCCUCCCUCCCUUCUUUUUCUAUGUUGGGUUUCCAACCCAGGCUCCCUUAGUGCUAGGCAGGCACUUUACCACUGACAUAUACCCCAGGGUCCCUCUUUUUUUUAAAAAAAAAUUUUCUGGCUCAGGGUCCCAUUCAGGAACACACACCUCAUUAAUGGCAUGUCUUUUCAGUGCUUUCCCAUCGGAAGUGGUUCCUUGGUUUUUGGUCCUGCCCCUGACGGCUGGAAAGAAUUCAGCACGCACAUUGCCUUCCUGAGCCCCGGGAGGCUCCUCAUGACUCAUGAUGGGCUCCAGCACACUCAUGGGCAGCUUUGCUUUUCUCAUCCUGUGGACCCAUCACUGGCAAUGUGAACCUUGAUCAUUCAGUCACACCGAAGUGUCCACUGCCGGGUUACUGUUUGUUCUUUUAGAACAUUUGGGAAGUAUUCCAACAAUAUGUGGAGUCUCUUCCUUAACGAAACUUCACUCCCUGGUCUUACCAUCUGUUGAUGACUCCAGCCUAGUAACAGUCACACUGACAAAUAACUUUGUAUUUAUAUCACUCCUUCUCAUGGACUGACUGGCAUUAUAAUGCAAAGGAAGACCUUUUAUUCUUCCUGUCUGCUUAUAUAUUUUACUAGGUUAUACUUUGUUAUGGUAAGUAUUUUCAUACUAAGGGGUCCCUAAUUUGGUCAAUAAGAAUCCCCUCAAGCUGAGUUUUGUGUCCAUUCAACAAGUACCUGUCAGUUUUUGAGCACUUCCUCAGUUUCCAGUCCAAGAUGUUCUCAAUCCUCUUCUACUUUGUCUACCCUAGCCCUAGCAGCCACCAUUUCUUAAAGGAGUCGUGGUUCCUUUUAGGGGAGCACAUGGCAUAAGGGACCAGAAUCCUCAUAAUUUAUCAUUACCUGUAGAUCUUUUCAGAGGAUAGACUAGAAAGUCAGUUUACACACACACACAAACACACACACACACGCACAAUUUCUCCAGCUAUCUGUUUUUGCAUUUUAAAAAGUGAAUGCAUAAUACUACCAAGAUUUCUAAUCCAACAACUCAGGUUUAUUCCUCACCUUCUUCUUUUCUAUAUUCACACUUUCCCUUAACAGUGGGAAACUUGGGUGUCAUUUUCGCAAUCUAUUUACUUACGUGCCCCACGGAAUCAAGUGCAACCACACGGGCCCUCUUUCUCUGCCACCUGUACCCUCCCUCCCACCCGCCACAGUCUUGCCCAUACUGCUACUGCAUCUUCACUUCAGGGAAGAGAAAUAGGAAAGGAAAAUGGGAGGGAAGAUAGGAAGGAAAAGAAGAUGAAAAAGGAAGAGGGAAUAAGAGAAGAUGGGAAAGGAAGAGUUUAAUAUUAACAUAGUGCCUUAAGUUGCCUUUAGUAGUUUAAUGUCAAUAAUGCUAAACUUAGGCUAAGGUACUUUUCCUGAUUGUUGUAAGCUCCCAGUAAAAAGUUGAAGGUUUAAUGGCAUUUAAGAGGCUGCAAAAGUCACACGAUAAGGUGGAAGACUGGGAGGCCUACGACGGGCAAAUUUGUUCGUAAUUCUGAUUCCUCUUCGCUUCGUGUGGCUGGGGCAGCUACUGCCCAGCUGAGUCUGCUGUCUCAUCACCACAAUGGAAUAUUUACUUUACAGGUUUGCUACUGAUAUGCAUUGGGCAUAAUAAGAUGUUUGCUUAAUAACUGUUGUUAGUUUGUUAUCAUUACAGUUAGUGCUCAAAAAAAUCACACUGUGUCCUCCCACACCUCUACUCUGUAUGAGUCAGGUUUUUGUCACUAUAGCAAAAUACCUGACACAGGCAAUUUAGAAAGAAAAAGAGGCCCCUUAGCUCCCAGUGUUGCAAGCUGCUUCUGGUGAGAACCUUUCGGAGAGUGGUGGACGGUGAAGCGGUCACAGCUUGCUCGGGCCAUAGCGAACUGGCAGGUCUGACUCAGGUUUUGAUAACGGCUCUUGAGAGCCCCGAGAACCACCUGCCAGGACCUACACCCUCCUACUAAUGGCUCCACCACCCGCCAGAGGCGCCAUGCUGGGACCAAGCUUUUGAUAACAAUGGCCCCUCUGGAAGAACCAUUUCCUGACCACAGCACCCUCUUAUUUUCUUGCUGAGUGGAAACCAGCAUUAUUAUAUCGUGGUAGGUUAACUAAAGGUCAACUUGGGACGCCCAGCUGAACUGAGUCAGGGUGACUCUGAACGUGGAAGACGCACCUGAGGAUUUGCCAACGGUAUAAAAGAACUGGAGGGGGAAGACUGCAUGCUGUUGAUCUUCCUGGAGAAGCUGACUGUGGCUGUUUAUUUCUGAUAUGAACUCGUUCUUGUGGUCAGAGGAGCUCAAGUUCUUGCUGCUGCUGGGCAAGGCUGCUGUUUGCUUCAGGGGAGCUCUGGUCUUUGUCUUGAGCGGUGCUUCCUGCCUCUGGUGCAGAUCCUUCAGCCUGGUGGCACUGACUCUUCACCCAGCGGCCUUGGGCCUUCCUGGUGCAGAUCCUUGAUAUGAACUUGCAGGAGACAUUGCUGUGGGCUCCAGGCACUGGCUGGACUCUAGGCCUUCAG